CAACCUGGUUGAUCCUGCCAGUUAGUCAUACGCUUGUCUCAAAGAUUAAGCCAUGCAUGUCUAAGUAUAAGCAUUUAUACAGCGAAACUGCGAAUGGCUCAUUAAAACAGUUAUCGUUUAUUUGAUAGUUCAUACUACUUGGAUAACCGUAGAAAUUCUAGGGCUAAUACAUGCGCGAAUUCCUGACCGUUUA
rnacentral:rRNA from 1 species